GACACCCAGUGUUGCCUCCUGCUCCCGCCAGGGGCCUGUCACUCCGUACCCAGCCCCUUGAAAGAACUGCGCCCUGACUCUAUAGAAAGGCAAUCAGCAGACAGAAAGAAAGGGGGGGGGCGAGUGGCACUGUUCCUCAAAUUGCAGCUGGGACAAAGGCUUCCAGACUUCGCUGGAAGAAAACCUACAGUGUGGGCCUGAAUAUCACUGCCAAGAUUUACAGCAGCCCAGCUUGUCCAGGCAAGACAGCAUGCCAGGCGCCUUUCAGACCACCAGCGGACCUGAAGGCUUGCACUGAAUGUCAGUUUGAUCAUAUAUGUCUUAGCAUGUUCACAGACCACCAGUGGACCUGAAGGAAGAAGCAGCCAGGACGGGUGGAAGCUGCCUCUCGCUAAGAUUCCAGGGCCCCUUGGGUACGCCCACACAGCAAAACCUGGAGAAUGCGUGCAGUCAGGUGAUCUGGAGAAGGGGUGAAUUUUUGCCAGCAAGGAAGAAGGUCCAGAACGGGAAGGAGCAGCCAGGAUGGGUGGAAGCUGCCUCUCGCUAAGAUUCCAGGUAGGAAUUUAGUCUGACAUCUGGAAGCGGAACUACUUACUGACUUCCCACUUUGUUUCACCAACUUUGAAACUUUGUU
rnacentral:lncRNA from 1 species